UCAGAGGGAGGUAGAAUNCCACGUGUAGCAGUGAAAUGCGUAGAGAUGUGGAGGAAUACCGAUGGCGAAGGCAGCCUCCUGGGAUANCACUGACGUUCAUGCCCGAAAGCGUGGGUAGCAAACAGGAUUAGAUACCCUGGUAGUNCACGCCCUAAACGAUGUCGAUUAGCUGUUGGGCAGCAUGACUGCUUGGUAGCGAAGCUAACGCGUGAAAUCGACCGCCUGGGGAGUACGGUCGCAAGAUUAAAACUCAAAGGAAUUGACGGGGACCCGCACAAGCGGUGGAUGAUGUGGAUUAAUUCGAUGCAACGCGAAGAACCUUACCUGGUCUUGACAUGUACGGAACCCUCCAGAGACGGAGGGGUGCCUUCGGGAGCCGUAACACAGGUGCUGCAUGGCUGUCGUCAGCUCGUGUCGUGAGAUGUUGGGUUAAGUCCCGCAACGAGCGCAACCCUUGUCAUUAGUUGCCAUCAUUAAGUUGGGCACUCUAAUGAGACUGCCGGUGACAAGCCGGAGGAAGGUGGGGAUGACGUCAAGUCCUCAUGGCCCUUAUGACCAGGGCUUCACACGUCAUACAAUGGUCGGUACAGAGGGUAGCCAAGCCGCGAGGUGGAGCCAAUCUCACAAAACCGAUCGUAGUCCGGAUCGCACUCUGCAACUCGAGUGCAUGAAGUCGGAAUCGCUAGUAAUCGCAGGUCAGCAUACUGCGGUGAAUACGUUCCCGGGUCUUGUACACACCGCCCGUCACACCAUGGGAGUGGGGGAUACCAGAAGUAGGUAGGGUAACCGCAAGGAGCCCGCNUAC
rnacentral:rRNA from 1 species